AAUAUGCAAUUUUUAUUUUCCCAAAUAUAUUACCAAUACAAAGAAAAAUCAUUGAAAAAUCACUGACGGAGUAUGAUGGAUGUCCAGGCUAGACUAUGAGGUCAUCAACCAAGGAGUUGUGACAUCAGUGAGAGAUGACUAUGACCUCACUAACCCAUUCUGUACAAAUUUGGGUGCUGGUAGAGUCCACCAUAGACUUGUGCCUGGACUCCAGUUGAACCUAUCUGUGAGACUUGGCACAGAUAUUCAUUAUAGCUGCCCUCUCAGAGAAAGCAAGUUGGCAAUCUUGUUGAAGAACGACAUAUAG
ensembl:lncRNA